AAAGUCGUAACAAGGUUUCCGUAGGUGAACCUGCGGAAGGAUCAUUACCGAGCCGCCGUGUGGACCUGCCGCGCCUCCCGGGUAUAAGACCCCGGGGUGGACGCUCGCGUGGACCACGGCAACCGGCCCCACUCUUGUCUACCUUAUCCAGUUGCCUCGGCGGGCCGCGUCGUCCGCGGCCGACCGGGGGGGACGCCCGUCUCUCCUGGUCCGCGCCCGCCGGUGGAACACCUAAAAAUCGAAUAUUUAACAGAACGUCUGAGCUUAUAGCAACAAAUUAAUUAAAACUUUCAACAACGGAUCUCUUGGUUCCG
rnacentral:misc_RNA from 1 species